GGUUUAUUUGAAAAGUUAUUAUUAUCGGCUCAUAACCGAGUGGUCGAAGGUUCGAGUCCUUCACGACCCACCA
rnacentral:tRNA from 1 species